rnacentral:rRNA from 1 species
UCCUACGGGAGGCAGCAGUGGGGAAUAUUGCACAAUGGGCGCAAGCCUGAUGCAGCCAUGCCGCGUGUAUGAAGAAGGCCUUCGGGUUGUAAAGUACUUUCAGCGGGGAGGAAGGUGUUGAGGUUAAUAACCUCAGCAAUUGACGUUACCCGCAGAAGAAGCACCGGCUAACUCCGUGCCAGCAGCCGCGGUAA